UAGCCAUGCAUGUCUAAGUACAAGCCUAACUAAGGUGAAACCGCGAAUGGCUCAUUAAAUCACACCUAAUCUACUGGAUUGUUACUUUUACUUGGAUAACUGCGGUAAUUCUGGAGCUAAUACAUGCGAAAAAACCUCAACUUACGGCGAGGUGCUUUUAUUAGACCAAAACCAAACGGUUCUUCCGUUACUCUGGUGAUUCUGAAUAACUUUUUGCAGAUCGUACGGACCUGUUCCGACGACAAAUCCAUCGAAGGUGUGCCCUAUCAACUGUCGACUGUGGUAUAGACGUCCACAGUGGUUUUGACGGGUAACGGGGAAUUAGGGUUCGAUUCCGGAGAGGGAGCCUGAGAAACGGCUACCACUUCUAAGGAAGGCAGCAGGCACGCAAAUUACCCAAUGGUCGAAGACCGAGGUAGUGACGAAAAAUAACGAUACCGGACUCAUCCGAGGCCCGGUAAUCGGAAUGAGUACACUUUAAAUCCUUUAACGAGGAACAAUUGGAGGGCAAGUCUGGUGCCAGCAGCCGCGGUAAUUCCAGCUCCAAUAGCGUAUAUUAAAGUUGUUGCGGUUAAAAAGCUCGUAGUUGGAUCUCGGCAGGUAGGGGGCGGUUCGUUUCUGACGGCACUGCCCCAUUUACCUGUGUUUUUGACGGAGGUUUCAAGGUGGCUUUAAACGGCUGUCUUGGUACGCCGUCAGGUUUACUUUGAAAAAAUUAGAGUGCUCAAAGCAGGCUACAAAGCUUGAAUAUUUGUGCAUGGAAUAAUGGAAUAGGAAGUCGUUUCUAUUUUUUUUGGUUUUCGGAAAUUGACUUAAUGAUUAAUAGGGACAGCCGGGGGCAUUAGUACUCAGACGACAGAGGUGAAAUUCUUGGACCGUUUGAGGACUAACUACUGCGAAAGCAUUUGCCAAGAGUGUUUUCAUUAAUCAGACGAAAGUUAGAGGUUCGAAGCGAUCAGAUACCGCCCUAGUUCUAACCAUAAACGAUGCUGACUAGCGAUCCGUAGCUGUUUUCUAUGUAGGCUCUAC
rnacentral:rRNA from 1 species